GACGGUCUUGUGUUAUCUUCUUCAGGCACAUAAAUCUGGUAAAUGCACUUGACCUUUAUGUUUAAAAACUAGUUUCUUCCCAACCAUCUGAGCUUUCAGUAAGAAAUCCAAUUAGCCUCAUGACAUAUCAGAUUUUCAGAUAUAGGCACUGAAACGAAUUUAAUAUUCAGUUUGCUUUUUUUAUUUGGAAAGUACUUCAUUAAUUGAAGAUUUAUUUUCCACAACACUUAUCUUCUCACAAGUUAAAAGUCAGUUAACGGCAUUUCAGUGUGUGUUUCUUUGUUGCUAAAAGAAAUUUGUGUUCUCAUAAUUCUAUCUUCUGUGCAGGUUUUCUUAGCUUUGCUCUGCUAUGCUUCAAAAUAGUUCAUUUAAAGCUUCGUGGUCACUCGUUAAGACAUGGUGGUGCACUUGCUAGUUCAGGACUAAAUGUGCUAUAAUAGAUGGUUUUUGAGUUUACUAAGCUUCCACAACCUUUUCAUAGAGUUAACAUUUUCAGGUUGCAUUUCAUCACGACAAGAUGUUCUCCAAACCGAUUAUCCUUUUAUCUUAUGUUGCUAGCCUCAUUGGUACUUGGCAUUGCAUUUCCUACAUUGGGAUCUAGCAUACUCCGCCAGUACAUCCCAACCCCUUGUGGAGUUUCUCACUAAGAAAAGAGUGAGACAUGAGAGGUAAGAAACCACGAUUGAUAGCACAGUUCAAUCAGCCAUGAGAGAAAAAAAAUAAAAAAAUAGAAGGCAAAAAGGCAAAAUUAGAAAGAAAAAAAGAGAGAAACUCCCGUUAAGCCACUUCAGUUUUCCAAUGAGUCCACCAUAUCUGCCUAUCAUAGCACCUCCUCAUUUGCUAUUCCAAGUAGUGGAUUCCUUUGCCAUGCACAUUUAUAUUUUCCAUUGUACAUCUUUAAAGGAGGCAUAGUAGUCAUCAUGUUUAGUACUUGUUGAACUUCACCAACCAUUUUAGGGCUUGCUUCUACUUUCAUAUACAAGAGCUUUCAUCGGCACCUCUCAAUCUUUUGUAGGUCAAAAUAAGAAAGAAAAUGAAAAAAGAAAGGAAAAGAAAAAGGAAAAAAGAAUGAAAAAAGAGAUAAAAUGAAAGACGUAAAGUAGAAUAAGAGAGGUGCCAUGUUUUCUCUCUAUCAAGCUCUUAGUUUUCAUUUAUGGAGAGAUGAGUCUUAUUGCUUAGGCUUAUAAUAUAUCACUUUUCCUACCACCCAUUUAUUCAUCAUGUAGAGUUUAGCACUCAUAGCUAAUUCUGUUCAUCUUAGUGGGAUGGUUUAUUUGCAUAUGCUUACUAGGACUUCAUAUCACUUCAUAUCCAUUGUGCAUACCUUGGCAAAUCCCUACUCCCCAUGCAACAUCGAAACCGAGGACAUCACACAUGCCUUGGGGUCACUCUGCGUUACAUGGGCCUAUCUUUUCCUUGUCGAGUCACUCCCAACCUUUCACGUCAUAUUUUAAUGAUCGAAACCCGAGGCAUCUUGGUUCAUGGUGACUGCUUACUUGACUACGUGACCCGUCCUUCCCAAGACAUGAAUUGGUUUGUACUCCUGAAAACUCACUGUUGGUUUUGCACUUAUGAUAUGGGCUUAUCAAUUAAUUGCAAUGUUGUUGCGUUUGAGCAGGGAGCUCAAGGUGGGUUGAAUCCUUGGAAUGAUCUUGCCAAAAAGACUUUCUAUCACGAUGAAGCAUUUUAGUAUAUGACACUAGAGCUUCAGUUUUGACGGGACACUUAAGAGUCAACUUCUUCAAGGUUAAUCAAAUGCUUAUUUAAGUUUAUCUUGAUUUAUACUGUUCCCUCUCUUUUUUAAUCGGAGAUGCUCUUUGAACCUAAUUUGGUACAAACUUAACGUUUUCCAUGAUGAUAUGCAGAAGCUAGUGUAGGCAUAGGCCUGACUAAAUUACUGACUAGGUGUUUGUGCAAAUGCAGAUCCACGACGCUGAUCACUUGACCAGUUCCCCCUGCUGCACGAGCUGUAAGGAGGGCAAGAUGUCGAGGCUAGUUGUGCCGCUGGACAAUGAAAACCUGCUCCACGAGAUCCUCCUCCAACUCCCCCCGCGGUCGUCCUCACUCCCAGCGCCUCCCUCGUCUGCAAGUGUCGGCGUCGCAUCAUAUCUGAAAUCCACUUUUUCCGCCGCUUUCACGCACGCCACCCAGCUCUCCCUUCCUCAGUUGAUUUGUCAGCAACCUGCGAGGCUUCUCCUACACACCUACCAUGGAGGCCCCAUAUCGUGUCCCCACCGAGUGCAACUCAUGGCUCCUGGAUCCAGCCAUCCAGGACACUAAUCACUUGGUUGGUUCCAGUGGACAAUCAAAAGGUUCCCUGGAACUGGAGACGAGAUUCACUCAAUGAAUCACUUUUCAGCAGAGCAAUUGAAGUUCUACGCUGUUGUGCAACAAUGCCCCCUGAAUCGCUCGCUAGUAGCCUGAGUUGCUAUUUCGUGGAGUAUCUAAAGCUUGAAAUUUUCCUUGUGUUUAUGUAAUUAUUACUAUCCAGAAAACAAAUUCCUUACGGUGUCUAGUUUAGUUUAUGUCACAACUAAUAAGUUCUGCUUCUGUAGUAAAGAUUGACAAUUUUUUUGUAUAAUAACUGAAUUAAAUCCCAUUGUGGCCUGCCUAUUGGCAUAUGCAAGAACUGUGUAACUAUAGUGGAAGUGCACUACUGCAGUAGUGCAAUUCUUUCUCAAGAUAUAUAUAUAUAUAUAUAACAGUUGAAACUUGGAGGUUGAACAAUAAAACUUAGAUCUACGCUGUAUAGAUAUUGGUUGUGUGCAGUUCAGCAUUUGCCUCUAUGGGAGGUAUUUGAACCAUUAGUCUCUCAGCCUCUACUAUGAGAAGACGGCGAAAAGUACUGAGAACGUGCUAACGGAGAAAUUGAAAGUGUGCUACUACACCACAAAUUACCAACUGACAAUCUCUGUUUCCAUUGCUGUUUUCCCCAAAAAUGAUGAGAUGAUUCCACUUUCGUGUUAUUUGUAGAGUUUCCUUAUGGCGGAACUACUUUUUACUGUUUGACAUAACAGAUAACUUCAUCAUCCAAAAUCUAAAAUCUGCAGGUAAGCAGAUAAUGUAGCAUGAGAUUAGCAUCAUACUUUCGAAAUAGGCUUUCGUCUCGCUAUAUAUAUAUAUAGAAAUCACAUGAUACAACAUGAAACCACUGCUGGGCCAAAACAGCACAUCCACGCCCAAAAAGAAAAGAAAGAGAAAAUAAUGCCAACACCGACGGCCUAACGAAAACAAUAAUAACCCGCAACCGCUGCGUCUCCUUCGAAAUAUUCCCACCACGAUCCAAGCAUCUUGAUCCAUCGCGUACCAAGCAGCACCUUCACGAAGGAUAAUGACGACGACGAUACUGCUGCCCGGACAGGUCCUAGGGUUUUCCCCGGUACACUCCGAGGCGUGGGGAGGAGGCACACCCGACACCCUUCAGGAAGGAAGGGUGACACUCUCAAGCAUCACCGUGUCGGUGUCAAAAGACAAGGAUUUCUCCCGACCCCCAAGCCACCACCCCCUGACAAUCAGAGACGCACCACUAAGCAUGCCAUCGACCAACAAACGCCACCUCGGUUUUGCAAUCAUCAUCGUCGUCUCACCAUGGUCAACGUAGCAAGGCCGGUCAGUCUGAGGUGAACCACCCGAAGACACGAUCUGACAGGGGGACAACUACACAGGAGGGGACUACCUCCACCGUCCAAGACGGUCGCCGUCCGGACACGACGACGAGAACACACCGAACCAUUGAAACCGAAGGGCAGCAGCAGCGCAGCCACCCAGAGGGCGUCCUCCACCGCCAUCGGUGGGUAUCGACCGGACACAGCAGCCAGGACACACCAGGCCAAGAAGGCCCGGCCGAGCUCCGGCCAAGUCUCGGGGCUCGUAAAGUCCCCGCUGUCGUGCUGCUGCACGUAGGCCGCCACCGCCGCUACCCUCAUGCAGCCCAAAAGCUCAACCGGGCAUGUACAAGCUCGUGAAGCUCCCAUCAUCACGCUACAACGGUGCGAUGUCAACGCUGUCACCCCCGCCGCGAGUCGCGCCCCAAACCAACCAAAGGCGACGAGGCAGGCCCGACCAGAUCUAGAUCGGGCCCGGGGGUCCAGAUCUGGGCCUGAAGGGCUGGAUCGCUGUCACCGCUACCCAGCCACCAACGACAGCACCACCGCCACCGAGACCAUUCACGCCGCACCAGGGAAAGCCCCGCCGCCGCGCCGGGCCGCUGCCGCCGAGACGCACCACCAGGCCCCGGGCUGCCCCGCGCUACCCGAGCCAGGAGGGAAAGGCCGGAGUCCUGCCACCACCGGGGCCGCCCGACCAAGGGCCGGCGCGGCGCACCGGCGACGACAGGAGGAGGGAGGGAAGGGAGGGGCGAGCGGGUAGNNNNNNNNNNNNNNNNNNNNNNNNNNNNNNNNNNNNNNNNNNNNNNNNNNNNNNNNNNNNNNNNNNNNNNNNNNNNNNNNNNNNNNNNNNNNNNNNNNNNNNNNNNNNNNNNNNNNNNNNNNNNNNNNNNNNNNNNNNNNNNNNNNNNNNNNNNNNNNNNNNNNNNNNNNNNNNNNNNNNNAGGGGGAGAGGGGGCGCGGAUCCGGGGCCCCUGGGGCGGCAUGAAGUCUGAUAAUCCUCCGUUUCGUUCUCCCAGAACAGAUUUAGAUGGAUCAUUAGCAUCAUACUCUCCAAGUUGCUUAUGGUACGCGCCCAUCUUUAUGAUUAUGAUGUGGAAUCAGUGAUGGAAUUGCUAUUACUGGAGAGCUAGUCUCGGGUUCGUUGAGGCCACUCAUUUCUUGACGCAAUUCUUAGAUUUCUUGACGUAACUCUUAGAUUAAAAUAAAAGCAACCAGUAAACAGCUAAAUUAAAUGAUAUGCGUAAAUCGAUGACUCCCAAUUGUAUCCAUUAGCAAGAAUCAUCUAAUCAGGGGAAGUUAAGAGUUGGAAGAGCCCUGGAUCUGAACCAUCCAAUCAGGUGUAAUUUCAGUUUGCUACAUAAACAGAAACUACUGAUCAGGGGACUCACUUUGCACGAAUCUCUGCUCGUUGCCAUGGUGGCGGUGGUGGUGGCAGUGUCCUCCUCUCCACCGACCAGCAUCACCGGGCAGGCUGGCGCAGCGCGGUGGUGUCCUCCUCUCCGGCGUCNN
rnacentral:lncRNA from 1 species